CACGCACGCCCUACGCAGACAGCCCACUCCACUUUUCAGACGCCCACCUCCUACAUACACCCCUCCCCUAAACAGACUUCCACCCACUCACCAUCUGUAGUCUCCCUUCCGCCCCCGGCUCCGCCCGCCCGGCUUCCUCUCCCCAAGAAGCGGACCCUCACAGUGGGAGGCGGGGACCCCGGCCAGACGCUCGGCUCCUGCGCGCCGUACUGACCUCUGCCCGCCCUGGAAACUAACAAAGGCGGCGCGCGAGUCCAGACCCCAGAGCGCCGAGCGGCGGCCGCGGGGCGGGCGAGCCUGGGCCGGGCGGUUGAGCGCCGGUAGGGGGCUGCUCCGGAGUCGGGAGGCGGCGGCGCCGGAAGACGCGGAUCUCUGGCCGCGCGCGCCGCUCGGUCGCCGCGGGCACCAUGGGCUGCUGUACAGGACGCUGCUCGCUCAUCUGCCUCUGCGCGCUGCAGCUGGUCCAAUCAGCAUAAUGUCGAUGCAAUGGACCAGUGUGAUGUCCUGUGGAAGAGGAAGGCGAUCCAUAUGGACUAAAUUAAGACGGAGCUGGAGAGUUAUCAUACCCAAGUGCUGGAUUUGGACGCGGAAGCCUUUGAAGGUGAUGAAGUCAUUAGGGCAGAGCCCUUAUUAAAGAGACCCUGAAGCGUUCCUCUGCCCCUUUCUCCAUGUGAGGACACAGCAAGAAAAUGGCCAUCUAUCAACCAGAAAGUGGGUCCCCACUGGACACAAAAUCUGCCAGCACCUUGAUCUUGGACUUUCCACUUUCUAGAACUGAGAGAAAUCAAUGUUUGUUACUGAAACCUAUGGUAUUUUUGUUAUAAUAGCCUGAGCAGAUUAAGACAGUUCUCUUAUGUUUAGUAAGGAGCUUCCUGGCCCCUUGUCUGAGUUCUGCAAUCUUUUCUUGAUGCUGACUUGCAAGUUUCCAUACAUUCAGCAUCUUUAUGGUUUCUGCCAUGAGAUCUCUGAUGUUCUCAAAAGUGUAAUUUCUGGCUGAAAGCAUUCCACGUUCCAUAACAUUUACACAUCUUUUCAUGUUAGUGAGUUCUCUGAUGUACUGCAAGAUUUAAUGUAUGGAUGAAAGUUUUCCAUAAACAUUACAUUCAUGUUUAUUUUAUGUGAGUUUUCUGAUGCUCUUGAGGUUUGAUUUCUGGUGGAAAUCUUCCCUACCUCUAUCACAUUUAAAAUGUUUCUCCCUGGUGUGACAAAGCGGAUCAAAAUAUGCCACCCUAAACUAUGCCACUUUGUCAAAAGGAUGCUUUUGAGCCGAAAGCAACUGAAAAACAGUAGACACAGAAAGACAUUUUCCCUUCCCCCACCAUCUGCCAAAAGGCAGGGUCUAAAUCUCCCUUCAUAAAGGUGUUCCCCAUCCCCUCUCCUGUAUGCCCAAGAGGAGACAACUCUUAUCAUUGGAGAGGGCACCAACUAAUAUCUGCAUAAACAAAUCUUAAUGAAAUAACACUCUUCUCCCAUUGGUUUCCAGUAUAUUGAUUUUCAUACAACUUACCAUCCGUACUAGCUCUAAACAUUUUUCCCUUGUGUGUUCACAUCAUUCCAAAUGUACUGUCCUUUUGUUAAAAUGUCAUAUACCCUCCAGAUGUGAUCACCAGUUUGGAGUUUUCAUGUCAUUUAUGUGAGGCUCUCCCUAUUCAUAUGAAAGAAAUCUUUUCCCCCUGUUAAUGUAUUUUAGUUUGCAGGGCUCCAGCCACUGAAAGUAACAGAGUACAAGAAAAAGUUAUUUAUCCUGCUUUUACCUUUUUAAAUCAGACAAUUCUCUGAUGACUUUGCCAGAUUGCCACCUUUAUAGGAUGUUUUGUUUGUGAGUUUUCUGAAG